rnacentral:rRNA from 1 species
GACGAACGCUGGCGGCGUGCCUAACACAUGCAAGUCGAGGGGUAGAGGCUUUCGGGCCUUGAGACCGGCGCACGGGUGCGUAACGCGUAUGCAAUCUGCCUUGUACUGGGGGAUAGCCCAGAGAAAUUUGGAUUAAUACCCCAUAGUAUUUUCGGUUGGCAUCAACUGAUUAUUAAAGUUUUUCGGUACAAGAUGAGCAGGCGUCCCAUUAGCUAGUUGGUAUGGUAACGGCAUACCAAGGCUACGAUGGGUAGGGGUCCUGAGAGGGAGAUCCCCCACACUGGUACUGAGACACGGACCAGACUCCUACGGGAGGCAGCAGUGAGGAAUAUUGGUCAAUGGUCGCAAGACUGAACCAGCCAUGCCGCGUGCAGGAUGAAGCAUCUAUGGUGUGUAAACUGCUUUUGUACGGGAAGAAACACUCCUACGUGUAGGGGCUUGACGGUACCGUAAGAAUAAGGAUCGGCUAACUCCGUGCCAGCAGCCGCCGUAACAC